UAUGGAUGGAGUGAGUUGGUGGGUGAGAGUGUGUCGUGUGUGUGGCAACGGGUUAAUAUUAUAUUGGACGUCGUGUACGGUGGUGAUCACUGUUGUCGUGGUAUGGGAAUUGCUAGUGUUAGGAGUACUUCUGUGGAAUGAUUUUAAUAAUUGAUGGUGGCAGUAGACUUGGAUAUAUAGUUUUGGUUUUGUACAAGUUUCACUAGAAGGUAUUUUCUUUUAAUGCUAUUAGACAGUGGUGUGUGCUCGUGGUUGGAGGCAUGGAGUUUGGUUUUAGUGGUGGUGAUUACAGAGGGUAGUAGUUAGGAUUAGGCUAAGUUUUAUUUUGAUAGGAAGUGGUAUUCUGUAUCUACAAAGUGUAUAUUUGCAUAGUUAGUCAUUUUGUGCUUUGUUCUUUUAUUCAGGUUGGCAUCUUUUUGUGCGUUCGAUUGCAUUACUUUUGGACUCAGGCAAGUUGGGGAGUUAGGCAAGGACUCUGGCGGCACCUCGGGGAUUCUUUUGUUUGACCUCCUUAGGGUGUCUAAUCUUAGUUUUAUUUUAAUAAAUCGCUUCCGCAUGCGAAACAAUUGUCAGAUAACAACUCCUUUUUAUUAUUGUUGGAUCACUGGAUAUUGGUUGGUUCAUGGGAUGGUUGUGCCCCAUACUUUUUGUUGAACUUAAUUGGUUGGAGUUGUUCUUAAUAAAAAAAAUGGUUGACUGUAUAUUGGUUCA